rnacentral:rRNA from 1 species
GACGAACGCUGGCGGCGUGCCUAAUACAUGCAAGUAGAACGCUGAAGGAGGAGCUUGCUUCUCUGGAUGAGUUGCGAACGGGUGAGUAACGCGUAGGUAACCUGCCUGGUAGCGUGGGAUAACUAUUGGAAACGAUAGCUAAUACCGCAUAAGAGUAGAUGUCGCAUGACAUUUGCUUAAAAGGUUCAAUUGCAUCACUACCAGAUGCACCUGCGGUGUAUUAGCUUGUUGGUGAGGUAACGGCUCACCAAGGCAACGAUGCAUAGCCGACCGGAGAGGGUGAUCGGCCACACUGGGAGUGAGACCCGGCCCAGACUCCUACGGGAGGGAGCAGGAGGGAAACUGGGGGAAGAGGCGGAAGUCAGACCGAGCAAGGCGGCGUGAGUGAAGAGGGUUGUCGGGUCGGAAAGCUCUGUUGUAAGGGAAGAACGAGUGUGAGAGUGGAAAGUACACAGUGUGACGGUAACUGACAAGAAAGGGACGGCUAACUACGUG